rnacentral:rRNA from 1 species
UAUUGCUCACUAACACGCGGAUAACCUGCCCUUGGGUCCGGGAUAACCCCGGGAAACUGGGACUAAUACCGGAUAGAUCACAGACGCUGGAAUGCCCUAUGAUCCAAAACUCCGGUGCCCAAGGAUGGGUCUGCGGCCUAUCAGGUAGUAGUGGGUGUAACGUACCUACUAGCCUACGACGGGUAAGGGUUGUGAGAGCAAGAUCCCUGAGAUGGACUCUGAGACAUGAAUCCAGGCCCUACGGGGUGCAGCAGGCGCGAAACCUUUACACUGCGGGAAACCGCGAUAAGGGGACCCCGAGUGCCAGCAUCUAAUGCUGGCUGUCCCGCUGUCCAAACAACAGUGGUUAGCAAGGGCCGGGCAAGACCGGUGCCAGCCGCCGCGGUAACACCGGCGGCCCGAGUGGUAGCCGUUAUUAUUGGGUUUAAAGGGCCCGUAGCCGGCCUAUUAAGUCUCUUGGGAAAUCUGGCGGCUUAAUCGUCAGGCGGCCAAGAGAUACUGGUAGGCUUGGGACCGGGAGAGGUGGGAGGUACUCCAGGGGUAGGGGUGAAAUCUCGUAAUCCUUGGGGGACCACCGAUGGCGAAGGCAUCCCACCAGAACGGGUCCGACGGUGAGGGACGAAAGCUGGGGGCACGAACCGGAUUAGAUACCCGGGUAGUCCCAGCUGUAAACGAUGCUCGCUAGGUGUCAGGUGCGGUGCGACCGCAUCUGGUGCCGCAGUGAAAACUUGAAGCGAGUCACCUGGGAAGUACGGUCGCAAGGCUGAAAUUUAAAAG